GAGAAUGUGGCUUAGUGGUAGAGUGCUUGCCUUUUAUGCAUGAAGCCCUAGAUUUGAUUCCUUGUUACCACA
rfam:Dipodomys ordii contig_48159, whole genome shotgun sequence.